rnacentral:lncRNA from 1 species
AGCCUGAGUCUGUUGGGAUCUCUAAGAAAAAUUAGAAUGAUUCCUCCAACCUAUAUUAUAUAUGUUUGAGAAUGGAUCAUUGAUAGGAUUGGAGUAACCUUGAGUAGUUUGAACUUGUUCUUGGAUGAAAGGUGAAAACUGUGCAGCCAUGGGAUAUUCACUCACAUGAUAGACUGGGCUAGCAUAGAUAAAAUAAUUCUCUUGAUAAUUAGAAGGUGAU